rnacentral:snRNA from 1 species
AUACCUUCUCGGCCUUUUGGCUAAGAUCAAGUGUAGUAUCUGUUCUUAUCAGUGUGAAAACUGGUAUCGUCUCCACGGAGGCGCUAUUUUCACAUCAAUUUGUUCUGGUGAGGGUUUAGUUGGGAGGCUCGCUUUCCACUCCCUCAGAGUCGCCUCGGACUUGCACUAUUUCCUUGAGCGGCUCACCCGUC